rnacentral:lncRNA from 1 species
UCCGCCGCAAUUCCCGCGGCGGAGAGCCAUUACAAUGAGGCUAUAAAACCCCCGUUCCUCCUCCUUCGGAGAUCACCAGAGCCCUCCUCCCUCUCCUCCCUCUCCUCCCUCUUCUUCCUUUGUUCUUGCCUCCCGAGUGACCGGCAUCCUCUUUCCGACCGAGUGCUGUCCGGAUCCCCCUCACGGCCAUCCCCUGUUUCGAGAUCCAUUCUCUCGAUUUCGAACGCCGUCGUCGCUUGACCAUCGGAUCGAACAGCCGCGGCCGAGAUCUUCCUUCCGCCGCCUCCGUCGACCGCCAGUAAGCCUUCUCUUGCCCUGUAUUUCAUGUUUUUUUUUCUGUUCAAGCCCCAAACCGAGGUCAUC